GGCUCCAUCGUCUAAUGGUUUAGGACGCCGGGUUCUCAGUCCGGUAAUAGGGGUUCGACUCCCCUUGGAGCUG
rnacentral:tRNA from 1 species